UACGAGGGGGGCAAGUGUUGUUCGGAAUCACUGGGCGUAAGGGGAGUGUAGGCGGAUGUUUAAGUUGGAUGUUUAAAACUGGGGCCUAACCUCGGAGCGGUAUCCAAAACUGGGCAUCUUGAAUAGGUCAGAGGCUGGUGGAAUUGGAGGUGUAGUGGUGGAAUGCGUAGAGAUCUCCAAGAACACCUAUUGCGAAGGCAGCCAGCUGGGACCAUAUUGACGCUGAGGCUCGAAAGCAUGGGGAGCAAACAGG
rnacentral:rRNA from 1 species